AUCAACGCUGGCGGCGUGCCUAACACAUGCAAGUCGAACGAGAAAGCGACCUUCGGGUUGCGAGUAAAGUGGCGAACGGGUGAGUAACGCGUGGGUGAUCUACCCUUUGGAGGGGGAUAACCCGCCGAAAGGCGGGUUAAUACCGCAUAAGCCUGUGAGGUCGAAGUCACAGGGAAAAGUUUUUUGCCGAAGGAGGAGCCCGCGUCCGAUUAGCUAGUUGGUAAGGUAAAGGCUUACCAAGGCAGUGAUCGGUAGCCGGUCUGAGAGGACGGACGGCCACACUGGGACUGAGACACGGCCCAGACUCCUACGGGAGGCAGCAGUGGGGAAUUUUGGGCAAUGGGGGCAACCCUGACCCAGCAACGCCGCGUGGAGGACGAAGGUUUUCGGAUCGUAAACUCCUGUCCCGAGGGAAGAAAGAAAUGACGGUACCUUGGGAGGAAGCCCCGGCUAACUCCGU
rnacentral:rRNA from 1 species